rnacentral:rRNA from 1 species
GAUGAACGCUGGCGGCGUGCCUAAUACAUGCAAGUCGAGCGAACAGACGAGGAGCUUGCUCCUCUGACGUUAGCGGCGGACGGGUGAGUAACACGUGGAUAACCUACCUAUAAGACUGGGAUAACUUCGGGAAACCGGCGCUAAUACCGGAUAAUCUAUUGAACCGCAUGGUUCAAUAGUGAAAGACGGUUUUGCUGUCACUUAUAGAUGGAUCCGCGCCGCAUUAGCUAGUUGGUAAGGUAACGGCUUACCAAGGCAACGAUGCGUAGCCGACCUGAGAGGGUGAUCGGCCACACUGGAACUGAGACACGGUCCAGACUCCUACGGGAGGCAGCAGUAGGGAAUCUUCCGCAAUGGGCGAAAGCCUGACGGAGCAACGCCGCGUGAGUGAUGAAGGUCUUCGGAUCGUAAAACUCUGUUAUUAGGGAAGAACAAAUGUGUAAGUAACUAUGCACGUCUUGACGGUACCUAAUCAGAAAGCCACGGCUAACUACGUG